UGAGGAAUAUUGGUCAAUGGGCGGGAGCCUGAACCAGCCAAGCCGCGUGAGGGAGGAAGGCCCUAUGGGUCGUAAACCUCUUUUGUCAGGGAAACAAAAGCGAGUAUGUAUACUAGUCUGAGUGUACCUGAAGAAAAAGCAUCGGCUAACUCCGUGCCAGCAGCCGCGGUAAUACGGAGGAUGCGAGCGUUAUCCGGAUUUAUUGGGUUUAAAGGGUGCGUAGGCGGCGGUGCAAGUCAGCGGUAAAAGCCCGGGGCUCAACCCCGGCGAGCCGUUGAAACUGCAGUGCUAGAGAAGGCGAGAGGUACGCGGAAUGCGCAGUGUAGCGGUGAAAUGCUUAGAUAUUGCGUAGAACUCCGAUUGCGAAGGCAGCGUACUGGCGCCUGACUGACGCUGAGGCACGAAAGCGUGGGGAUCGAACAGGAUUAGAUACC
rnacentral:rRNA from 1 species